rnacentral:rRNA from 1 species
GACAGAGGAUGCAAGCGUUAUCCGGAAUCACUGGGCGUAAAGCGUCUGUAGGUUGUUUAAAAAGUCUGCAGUUAAAGGUUGAAGCUUAACUUCAAAAAUGCCGUAGAAACUUUUAAACUAGAGGAUGGUAGGGGUAGAGGGAAUUUCCAGUGGAGCGGUGAAAUGUGUAGAUAUUGGAAAGACCACCGAUGGCGAAGGCACUCUACUGGGCCAUGACUGACACUGAGAGACGAAAGCUAGGGGAGCAAAUGGG